ACAUCUCCUUAUCAAAGAAAGGAAGAGUUUUGCGAUUAAUUAUUCCUAUAAGCACAUAGUAUUUGCACGACAGUGGUGGAUCUAACAAAUAUUUAGAAUGAAGGCAUAUAAACGGUCUCCGAAGUUCGGUUUUCACGGUCAAGUAAACGGUCUCUCGGCUCUCGAUAACCGUAUUUGUUGAGGCGAUUCUCGGGAGUCAUUGGUCGUCUCGGGUCAACAUAUUGUUAUAGCUCGCAUCCGAGUGUCGCUUUGUUCCUUUUGUUCUUUGCGGCAGUGGGCUUGACUUUACUUGCAGGUGAUGGAGGCUUCUUGACAGGAUGUGGUGAUGGCAUCAACCCGAUUUCUUGCACGGUUCGUAGCGGCAAUGGAGGUGGUGUCUCUUGGUAAGAGUUAUUUCAUCAUUGUGCUCGUCUAGCACUUCAUCGAUCAGUGACGGUUAUAAGCUCGAGGAGUUUAUUGGGAGCCAGCUACUCCGGAGAUGACACGGAAGUUCCCGGCAUCCGAGGCAACGAGGAGAACCUCACGGUCCUGUGGUUAUCGUCGAUGGUAAAGAACGGUAACCGAUUCCUUAGGAUUUUAAAAAUGGCUUAACGGAAUAUGCCGGGUCUAGUAGGUGGGUGAAGCUAGGUUGUAAUACAUUGACUCGGGAGUUUUUGUUCAAAUCGAUCUUGUAACCGGAUUUGAAUCCCCUUUAUUGGGAUGAAUAAAAUUUGUUUCUUAAGAAAAAAACAAAUAUUCUUAUUUUUAUAUAUUAUUUUAUGUAUAAUUAUGCAUAAAAAUAAACCAAUAAAAUGGUAUAAAGGAAAUAUUGUUUUAUACAGUCUAAUUCAAGAAAUAAAGGAAGAUGAAUCCAACUAUCUCUUUGAUGAACGGUGGUCGUCCGGCGAAGCUCUCUCUCCUCGUUUCAGGAUGUAAAGAAGCCACGUAGAUGGCACGUGUUCAACAUGCAAAUGUUCUUGGCGAUGGUCUUCACUUGGGCUUUAAUCUUUUGUAAUAAAAUUUUAAUCUUGAUUUCCGUUUGUAAACUGUUUGCUUUUAAGCCUUUUAAUACAAGAAGCCGACAAAAAAAAUCCAACUAUCUCUUUGUUAAAAAAUAAACAAAAUGUUAAAUACAAAAAUUGGUUUUGGAUGAAAAGAGAAAUGAAGAUUAUUCCCCCAGAGUCACAGGACAUUGACAUUUCUCACAGCUCUUUUGUUGUCUCCAAAGCACUACAGGAGAAUAGGUCAAAGUCUUUUAGGAAUAGGUUUCUUGAUUUAGCUCGCAAUAGUUCAGUACUCAAGGAGAUUAUUUGUAACGGCUGUGCUGCUUGUACAGUUGUACUUAGCCGUGUUGGAUAUUUUAUCCCUUUACCUGGAUUCGACAGAAAAACCCCUCAAGAUAAUUACCUUAGCUUUUUCUCUGGUUUUGUUGAGGAACUGUGUGAGUUUGGAGCAGAGAUCUCAAGCUUUCGCUCUUCCAGCUUGGGCUCAGUCUACAAAAUAAUUCAUCCAUAAUUAUGCAGGUGCUUUGUCACGUUCUUCCAUCCUUUGUGAAGAUGCGAAAGGAAGCUUAGAUGGUCACGCGUAGAUCAAGAGUUACAUGUGUGUGUUUAUUUUUUUUUCUCUCUCUUUUCUCAAGCCGUGAGAUGAAUUUUUAACAUUCAAUAAUUUUGCUGUAGAUCUUGUGACGUUUCUCGAAUUGGUUGCCUUUCUUUGUGGUUUAGAGUUUCAGUAGCUUUUUGUUUAGAUUA